rnacentral:rRNA from 1 species
AUCCACAGCCAUACCAUCCUGAAUGCACCCGAUCUCAUCUGAUCUCAGAAGCUAUGCAGGGUUGGGCCUGGUUAGUACUUGGAUGGGUGAAGACACAUAAGUACUUUCAGUGUGUGGAAG